GAUGAACGCUGGCGGCGUGCUUAACACAUGCAAGUCGAACGGAAAGGCCCAAGCUUGCUUGGGUACUCGAGUGGCGAACGGGUGAGUAACACGUGGGUGAUCUGCCCUGCACUUCGGGAUAAGCCUGGGAAACUGGGUCUAAUACCGGAUAGGACGAUGGUUUGGAUGCCAUUGUGGAAAGUUUUUUCGGUGUGGGAUGAGCUCGCGGCCUAUCAGUUUGUUGGUGGGGUAAUGGCCUACCAAGGCGUCGACGGGUAGCCGGCCUGAGAGGGUGUACGGCCACAUUGGGACUGAGAUACGGCCCAGACUCCUACGGGAGGCAGCAGUGGGGAAUAUUGCACAAUGGGCGCAAGCCUGAUGCAGCGACGCCGCGUGGGGGAUGACGGCCUUCGGGUUGUAAACUCCUUUCGCUAGGGACGAAGCGUUUUUGUGACGGUACCUGGAGAAGUAGCACCGGCUAACUACGUG
rnacentral:rRNA from 1 species